GACGAACGCUGGCGGCGUGCCUAAUACAUGCAAGUCGAACGCAGUGGGGACGGGUGAGUAACACGUGGGUAACCUCCCAUCAGAGGGGAUAACACUUGGAAACAGGUGCUAAACCGAUACAGAUGGAUGGACCCGGGGUGCAUUAGCUAGUUGGUGAGGUAACGGCUCACCAAGGCCACGAUGCGUAGCCGGCCUGAGAGGUUGAUCAGCCACACUGGAACUGAGACACGGCCCAGACUCCUACGGGAGGCAGCAGUGGGGAAUCUUCGGCAAUGGGCGAAAGUCUGACCCAGCAACGCCGCGUGUGUGAAGAAGGUUUUCGGAUCGUAAAGCUCUGUUGUUUGAGAGGCGGUAUCUAACCAGAAAGCCCCGGCUAACUACGUGCCAGCAGCCGCGGUAAUAC
rnacentral:rRNA from 1 species